rnacentral:rRNA from 1 species
GACGGAGGGUGCAAGCGUUGCUCGGAAUCACUGGGCGUAAAGGGUGCGUAGGCGGUCUCGCAAGUCUGGCGUGAAAGCCCAAGGCUCAGCCUUGGAAGUGCGCUCGAAACGGCGAGGCUGGAGUGCCGGAGGGGAGAGUGGAAUUCCCGGUGUAGCGGUGAAAUGCGUAGAGAUCGGGAGGAACACCGGUGGCGAAGGCGGCAUCCUGGACCAACACUGACACUGAGGAGCGAAAGCCAGGGGAGCAAACGGG